rnacentral:rRNA from 1 species
CCUACGGGGGCAGCAGUAAGGAAUAUUGGUCAAUGGACGCAAGUCUGAACCAGCCAUGCCGCGUGGAGGAUGAAGGUCCUCUGGAUUGUAAACUUCUUUUAUCUGGGAAGAAAUGUGGCUUUUCUAAGUCAUUUGACGGUACCAGAUGAAUAAGCACCGGCUAACUCCGUGCCAGCAGCCGCGGUAAUACGGAGGGUGCAAGCGUUAUCCGGAUUCACUGGGUUUAAAGGGUGCGUAGGCGGAUCUGUAAGUCAGUGGUGAAAUCUCCGGGCUUAACCCGGAAACUGCCGUUGAUACUAUAGAUCUUGAAUGUUGUGGAGGUUAGCGGAAUAUGUCAUGUAGCGGUGAAAUGCAUAGAUAUGACAUAGAACACCAAUUGCGAAGGCAGCUGGCUACACAAAUAUUGACGCUGAGGCACGAAAGCGUGGGGAUCAAACAGGAUUAGAUACCCGAGUAGUCA